rnacentral:lncRNA from 1 species
UCCACUCUUCCACGAAUGCAAAUCAUUCGUGUUGACCAGUUUAUGAAAUUCAUUCCCCGAGUACAAAUUGGCUCACUUCAUAUUGAAUAAAUCUUCCCCUUUCUCACAAGAAUGCGAACAAAUGCAUCCUCACAAUUCAGAAUUAAAUACCUCUCGGCCGGAUUACGAAGAAACAGUAAUCCGAUCACAACAUCCCAAGAACAAUAACAUAGAACCGAACAUGGUUAACGAUCCUUGUAUAAAAUCGAUUAAUCAUAGUUCGAAUUAAAGAAUAGAAGUUUAACAGAUUGAACGAGAAUAAGAAACUAGGAGAGGACCUCGAUAAUCAAGCAAAUUAUCCCCUUUAAAGUAUAUAGAAAGAAUAAUCAGUUAUCUGAAGAAGACAUCAAAAGCAUAAAAUUCGCAAGAAUUACGAAUCAAAGUUCGGGGUCUCGACAAUUAAAAUGUCGAUGUUAGCGAAUAAUCAAGGUUUAGAGAGAAUUCAACUGAGUUAUUCUUGCAUUGAUAUAAUAACUCAAAGAUAUAAACAAGACUUCUCGAAUAUGAGCAAGGUUAGAAUUAAAUAUCGAAUAUGAAUUUCUGUAACGAAAUAAAGAUUACAAAAUAGGAUAAUCAUCUCAAAAGGAGUGAUAGGUUAAAGAUUUGAAAAUUGACGAUAUUUGUGAUUUUACAAAAUAAUGAGUCAUCCUGAACAAUAGGUGGACUCAGUAAUGUAGAAAACUGUUUGAAUAAUAUUCUGAACGAAUGUCAAAUCUUCUAGUAUCCGUCUCUUCCC